rnacentral:rRNA from 1 species
GAUGAACGCUGGCGGCGUGCCUAAUACAUGCAAGUCGAGCGAACAGAUGAGGAGCUUGCUCCUCUGACGUUAGCGGCGGACGGGUGAGUAACACGUGGAUAACCUACCUAUAAGACUGGGAUAACUUCGGGAAACCGGAGCUAAUACCGGAUAAUAUAUUGAACCGCAUGGUUCAAUAGUGAAAGACGGUUUUGCUGUCACUUAUAGAUGGAUCCGCGCCGCAUUAGCUAGUUGGUAAGGUAACGGCUUACCAAGGCAACGAUGCGUGGCCGACCUGAGAGGGUGAUCGGCCACACUGGAACUGAGACACGGUCCAGACUCCUACGGGAGGCAGCAAUAGGGAAUCUUCCGCAAUGGGCGAAAGCCUGACGGAGCAACGCCGCGUGAGUGAUGAAGGUCUUCGGAUCGUAAAACUCUGUUAUUAGGGAAGAACAAAUGUGUAAGUAACUAUGCACGUCUUGACGGUACCUAAUCAGAAAGCCACGGCUAACUACGUG